UACAGAGGUCUCAACCGUUGUUCGGAUUCAUUGGGCGUAAAGGGUGCGUAGGUGGCGGGGUAAGUCAGGUGUGAAAUUUCGGAGCUUAACUCCAGAACUGCCUUUGAUACUGAAGAUCUUGAGUUCGGGAGAGGUGAGUGGAACUGCGAGUGUAGAGGUGAAAUUCGUAGAUAUUCGCAAGAACACCAGUGGCGAAGGCGGCUCACUGGCCCGAUACUGACGCUGAGGUGCGAAAGCGUGGGGAGCGAACAGG
rnacentral:rRNA from 1 species